UCUACGGGAGGCAGCAGUGAGGAAUAUUGGUCAAUGGAGGCAACUCUGAACCAGCCAUGCCGCGUGAAGGAUGACGGCCCUAUGGGUUGUAAACUUCUUUUAUAGAGGAAGAAACUUGUCUACGUGUAGACAACUGACGGUACUCUACGAAUAAGGAUCGGCUAACUCCGUGCCAGCAGCCGCGGUAAUACGGAGGAUCCAAGCGUUAUCCGGAUUCAUUGGGUUUAAAGGGUCCGUAGGCGGGUCUUUAAGUCAGUGGUGAAAGCCGACAGCUCAACUGUCGAACUGCCAUUGAUACUGGAGACCUUGAGUACAAAUGAAGUAGGCGGAAUGAGUCAUGUAGCGGUGAAAUGCAUAGAUAUGACUCAGAACACCGAUUGCGAAGGCAGCUUACUAACAUGUAACUGACGCUGAGGGACGAAAGCGUGGGGAGCGAACAGGAUUAGAUACCCUGGUAGUCCACGCCGUAAACGAUCAUCACUCGCUGUUGGCGAUAUACUGUCAGCGGCCAAGCGAAAGUAUUAAGUGAUGCACCUGGGGAGUACGCCGGCAACGGUGAAACUCAAAGGAAUUGACGG
rnacentral:rRNA from 1 species